UUGCUUCAGUAGUACAUAUACUAAAGUUGGAAUGGAGAGAUUGGCAUGGCCUCUGUGCAAGAAUGACACGCAAAUUUGUGAAGCGUUCCUUAUGUUU
ensembl:snRNA U6 U6 spliceosomal RNA